AACAACUCUCUGUGCUGUGUCUCCAGGGCUGAAGGCAUUGAUCCUUGCACACCCACCUUGCUUGCCCAAGCCUCUCUGGGCCAGCUAGGUCCCCUCUGGCUAAGAGAGAAUGGGGGUGUCAGGCCUCAGGAGAAUUUUUUUGAGGGGGCCAGGGCAUUUCACAAAGGACAAAAAUAGAUGAGAGAGAAGAAAGACAAAGAGGGAUGGCUCAUGGAAUCCUCUCUGGAAUGAAGGUGUGUGGCCAGCAAGGGCCUCGGAGAAGGUGCUUGUUUCCCCUUUGCCUUCCGCCAUGAGUGUAAGUUUCCUGAGGUCUCCCAGUCAUACUGCUGGUUAAGCCUGCAGAACGGUGUACUUGUUUGAAAUGUAUCUGGCCCAAUCGCUGAGCGUCCGCGCUGCAUUUCUCCAAACUGCCCAGCAGGGGGCGGUGCUACCUCGGCUCCGCGCAGCCACGGCUUCCCGCUGGCGAACCAAGGGCGCGGAAUCUGGAGAGGGCGAGGAACAUCUUUCCUCCCACCUGUCCCCCGCCAAGCCUGCCAGACCCGUCUCAUCCGUGCUGCUGCUUCUGAAAAUCAGAAGAGUGAGGAUGAAAUAAAGUCUUCAUAAAGGAAAACCAUUUGCUUGUUUAGAUUUCAUUCAUUCACUACUCAAAUAUUUACUGAGCUCCUACUGUGUGCCAAGCCUUGUUCUAAGCCCUGGGAGUCAACAGGGAACAAAACAGACACAAAUUCCAAUUCCUGCCUUCCUGGAGCAGUCCUUCCUGCUGGGGGCCGGUGGGCAGGAGGUCUUAGAUGACAAACGUAAUAAAUAAGCAAACGACCUAGGAGGUUAGAAGUUGAUACCUUCUAUGGAGUAAAAUAGGAAAAUAGAACAAGGCUGGUCUUGAACUCCCAGCCUCAAGCCAUCCUCCCGCCUUGGCCUUUCAAAGUGCUGGAUUACAAGCGUGAGCCACCGUGCACAGCCAAGACACAAUUUUAAAUCGAGCGGUCAGGAAGCCUCCUGGAGAAAAUGACGUUUGAACAAAGACAUGAAGAAAGUGGAGAAUAUUUGGAGAAAAGCAUUUCAGGCAGAGGAAAGUGCCAGGGCAGAGGCCCCGAGGUGAGACUGUGCUAGCAUGUUAUUUAGUUUUUAGUUUUAAAAAGUGCAAAAUAAUAUCCAUUUACUGUGGGAAAAUUAGACAUUAAAAAAAUCACUUCCUGUCCCUCUACCCAGAAAUAACUGGUAACAUGGUGGUGUAUAUUUUUGUGUUCUAUUUUUAAGCAUACACACAUACAUACGUGUGUGUGUAUAUUAUAUGUAUUUUUUUUACAAAAAUUGGGGUCAUACCAUCAUACGGUUUCAUAACCACUUAUUUGCCUAAUAAUAUAACAAGGCAAUCAUUC
rnacentral:lncRNA from 1 species